CCCUUAGAUGUCCUGGGCCGCACGCGCGCUACACUGACAUGUUUAACAAGUUUCUCCUAGUUCGACAGGACUGGGAAAUCUUUGAACGCAUGUCGUGAUAGGGAUAGAUCAUUGCAAUUAUUGAUCUUGAACGAGGAAUUCCUAGUAAACGCGAGUCAUCAGCUCGCAUUGAUUACGUCCCUGCCCUUUGUACACACCGCCCGUCGCACCUACCGAUUGAAUGUUUCGGUGAAGAUUCCGGAUAGGACUGAUUUGAUUUAUUUCAUUUCUGACCUAAAAGCUAUCUAAACCUCAACAUUUAGAGGAAGGUGAAGUCGUAACA
rnacentral:rRNA from 1 species